GGGCGUAAGGGCGCGUAGGCUGUGCUGUAAGUCAGGCGUGAAAGCCCCGGGCUCAACCUGGGAAUUGCGUUUGAUACUGCGGCGCUGGAAGGUGGGAGAGGAUGGCGGAAUUCCCAGUGUAGAGGUGAAAUUCGUAGAUAUUGGGAAGAACACCGGUGGCGAAGGCGGCCAUCUGGCCCACAUUUGACGCUGAGGCGCGAAAGCGUGGGGAGCAAACAGGAUUAGAUACCCUGGUAGUCCACGCUGUAAACGAUGAGUGCUAGACGUCGGGGAGCUUGCUCUUCGGUGUCGCCGCUAACGCAUUAAGCACUCCGCCUGGGGAGUACGGUCGCAAGAUUAAAACUCAAAGGAAUUUGACGGGGGCCCGCACAAGCGGUGGAGCAUGUGGUUUAAUUUCGAAGCAACGCGCAGAACCUUUACCAGCCCCUUGACAUGGGACGUAUGGGAUUUUGGAAACAGAUCUCUUUCAGUUUCGGCUGGCGUCCACACAGGUGCUGCAUGGCUUGUCGUCAGCUCGUGUCGUGAGAUGUUGGGUUAAGUCCCCGCAACGAGCGCAACCCCUCAUCUUCAGUUGCCAACGGGUAGAGCUGGGCACUCUGGAGAAACUGCCCGGUGACAAGCCGGAGGAAGGCGGGGAUGACGUCAAGUCCUCAUGGGCUCCUUACGGGCUGGGCUACACACGUGCUACAAUGGGCGGUGACAGCGGGGCGGCGAUGGGGGCGACCUCUGAGCUAAUCCUCGAAAAGCUCGUCUCAGUUCGGAUUGCACUCUGCCAACUCGAGUGCAUGAAGUUGGAAUCCGCUAGUAAUCGCGGAUCAGCAUGUCGCGGGUGAAUACGUUCCUCGGGUCUUGCAC
rnacentral:rRNA from 1 species